GAACCCGUGGCACAGUGGUCAGCGCGUGAGAUUCCAGUGUAACCUGGUUCCUCAAGGUCAUCCGUUCAACUCGGGUCGGGUUCA